CCUACGGGAGGCAGCAGUGAGGAAUAUUGGUCAAUGGGCGCGAGCCUGAACCAGCCAAGUCGCGUGAGGGAUGAAGGUUCUAUGGAUCGUAAACCUCUUUUGUAAGGGAAUAAAGUGUGGGACGUGUCCUAUUUUGUAUGUACCUUAUGAAUAAGGAUCGGCUAACUCCGUGCCAGCAGCCGCGGUAAUACGGAGGAUCCGAGCGUUAUCCGGAUUUAUUGGGUUUAAAGGGUGCGUAGGCGGCCUUUUAAGUCAGCGGUGAAAGUCUGUGGCUCAACCAUAGAAUUGCCGUUGAAACUGGGGGGCUUGAGGAGGUGUGAGGCAGGCGGAAGGCGCGGUGUAGCGGUGAAAUGCGUAGAUAUCACGCAGAACCCCGAUUGCGAAGGCAGCCUGCCAAGCCAUGACUGACGCUGAGGCACGAAAGCGUGGGGAUCAAACAGGAUUAGAUACCCUGGUAGUC
rnacentral:rRNA from 1 species